AACAGAACAAAACUUCAUAAAAAGAACUAAACAAACACUGGCCCAAAAGGCUGCCAUAGAAACACUGUGACUCAUGGGUGCUGAUCCCCUCUGCUGGGUCUCAGGGAUAAAUUUGGUUACAGACACCA
rfam:Myotis davidii contig56171, whole genome shotgun sequence.